rnacentral:lncRNA from 1 species
AAAAAAAAAAAAGAAGAUUCCACAGGUCCCAAACUAAGCCAGCACUUAACAGUUGCAGCAGACAUUGCUAAUGUUCACUAAUAGUUCCAGUUCUCCUCCCCUCCUGGAACAUAUGGAGGACUGUGUCUUCCUGCCCCUCCACUAGUUGGAUGGCACGAUGUGACUAGUUCUAGCCAACAGGCUGGGAAUAAAAAUGACAUGUGUCACCUCUGGGGAAAGCAUUUAAGAGCUGGUAUGUUACCUUCCAUCUUAUUUUCCCUACCAUGGUGAACCAGGAAGGAUCAUGUUGGGAUGGAGAUGCCCAAGAUUGAAGCCUGGAAUGAUGAGCCACCACGUGGAGGAUGAACAACCUGAACCUGGUCUGAAGCUGGGGUUGAGACAGACAGCAAGAAGAAACAAAACCAGAGGAGAAGAAUGGAGCUGG